rnacentral:rRNA from 1 species
CCUACGGGUGGCAGCAGUGAGGAAUAUUGGUCAAUGGACGCAAGUCUGAACCAGCCAUGCCGCGUGCAGGAAGAAGGCUCUAUGAGUUGUAACCUGCUUUUGGGCGAGGGUGAACGCAGAUGCACGUCUCUAUCUGACAGUAUCGUACGACUAGGGAGCGGCUAACUCCGUGCCAGCAGCCGCGGUAAUACGGAGGAUUCAAGCGUUAUCCGGAUUUAUUGGGGUUAAAGGGUGCGCAGGCGGUCGGAUAAGUUAGAGGUGAAAUCCCGAGGCUCAACUUCGGAAUUGCCUUUGAUACUGUUCGGCUAGAGAGUAGUAGAGGUAGGCGGAAUGUAUGGUGUAGCGGUGAAAUGCUUAGAGAUCAGACAGAACACCGAUUGCGAAGGCAGAUUACCAAGCUACUUCUGACGGUGAGGCACGAAAGCGUGGGGAGCAAACAGGAUUAGAUACCCGAGUAGUC